rnacentral:rRNA from 1 species
CAGCAGCCGCGGUAAUACGUAGGGUGCAAGCGUUAAUCGGAAUUACUGGGCGUAAAGCGUGCGCAGGCGGUUAUAUAAGACAGAUGUGAAAUCCCCGGGCUCAACCUGGGAACUGCAUUUGUGACUGUAUAGCUAGAGUACGGCAGAGGGGGAUGGAAUUCCGCGUGUAGCAGUGAAAUGCGUAGAUAUGCGGAGGAACACCGAUGGCGAAGGCAAUCCCCUGGGCCUGUACUGACGCUCAUGCACGAAAGCGUGGGGAGCAAACAGGAUUAGAGACCCCAGUAGUCCCUGUCUCUUAUAA